GCCAAAUUGGUGGCCAGCUCUGGCAAAUAUCGAAGAGGAGAGAUUGAAAGGAGGAGGGGAUUUUAACUUACUGAACCAUGAGGUGGCAGUAUAAGAUAACAUUGUACAGGAAGAGGAGAGGGAGCCAAGGAGGAGAAGAGGACGUGUGGGUAAAAUUGCAUACUUCUGGGUAUUGAGAAUACUAUAAUAUUCAUUCAUUCUUCAUUUAACUUACUGGACCAUGAGGUGGCAGUACAAGAUAACAUUGUACAGGAAGAGGAGAGGGAGCCAAGGAGGAGAAGAGGGCGUGUGGACAAGGAGCAUAAGAAUUAGAGUGGGACCCGGAAUUGCUGCAACUUUCAGCAGUUGAAAAGUACUGGCCUUCUGUUUGCUUCCUCCUGCUUUCCCACUGAGGAUGUCGGGGCCAGAGAUGGAACAUAAGCCUGCAGACCCAACCAGAGCCCUCAGCCCGGUGUUUUUUCCAAAUGAUCCAAACUUAGGGACCUAAGGGGAACUAAACUUUACUCUAUAUACCAUCAUCAUUUUCAGUGUGGAAAUACAUCUUUAUGAAAGAAAAGACAGGCACGCCAACUAACAUAUUUUUCU